AUGAAAUUGCAAUGGAUCGAAAUAAUUUUGGAUCUCCUUCUAGAAUUUCCUGGAAGACUCUAAGACAAUUUUUUAAUAAAAUACUAUGAUCUACUAUUCCCUGUCUGCUUCCAGGAGCAGACUACGAGCUCCUAGAAGGUAAGGGCCAUGUUCAUGGCAGCAGCACCGGCUACAGUCCUACUGGAACUUGGUAAAUGGUCAGUAAAGGACCUUCCAUAAGAAGUGGUCUCAAUGUGAACAACCAUCACUAUCCAGAUCUUCAGAUUCUGUGCCCUUUAUUUGGUACCUGUUUUUUUUAAGAUAGCUCCUUUGCUAUAAGCCAUUAUCUGUUAUCUCAAGAUAAGUAGAAACUAGCCGUCUUCCUCAAAAUUUUAAAACCUAGCAAGUGAUUCAAAUGUCAGUUUAGAAGGUUUCCAUGCUGUUUUUCACUGUGCAGAGAAUGCAUUGGGAGGCUGUGAAAGACAACAGCUUGGUUUCACCUGCUCAAGGCCAGUGGAUCUGGGACUGCCCUGUGGAUUGCCCAGAAGGGCCUCGACACCUGCAGUUGCUGGUCCCAGUUAACUUGGCGCAGUUGUAUUUUUAUUCGGAUAGGUGUGCAGUUCCGGCCAAGUUGGAGGGCUCAGCUAGGACUUGUCAACAGUGAAUGCAGUAAUUGUACCCAUGAAGCUUAAGAAGACAUUUUGUAAAGGAGUCACUUGCAGCCAGUCGAGCCCGUCUUGUGCAGCCGUGUGGAAUGUCCUCAGAUGUUGAGCAUUCAACCUGGCCUGAAUAGAGACUAUUACACCAUGCCGGGAUGUGGAGGCCGGGGAGUGGCUGAGCCUACUAGCUAAUGACCUGCACGUCGCAGCCCGGGGCCUACAUUUGAGCUUCAGUAAAGUGGCAAGACCUCACACACUGGACCUUCAGAGUUGCUCAGGUAUAGUCAAAGGCAUGAAUGUUUGUUUAGUCCAUAAAUGGCAAGAGCCAUAGUUCCUAUGCGCUGUGUAGUUGAACAUGGGGGACUGCUUUAGGAAAUGCGGCUGGGCCUGGUGAUUAUUUCUGGGGCUCCUCGGGUCUCUGAGCUGGCCUCCAAGGCUGUUGCUGAAUUACAACAUCUCACACCGCUCUCGAGCUAGAAUCCAGACUGAUUUAGGAAACCCAGACACAGGGACUUCCUGGCGGCAUUUUACUCUCUGAAUAGACUGUUGAAUUGGGGAGCUGGCAGCAGGUGUUAAAUGUAAACCUGGUCGGAAGAUGUAUUGGCAAGGGUUGUUUGUCUGAUCCUAAGAGCUAAGCAGACUUGCAAAUCUUGUGUUUUACAACGGGUUUAGCAGAACUUGGAAUGUCAAAGGGGGAGGCUAUGAUGGGAGACCAAGGAGGCUGAGAACCGCUGUGCCAGUUAACGGCUGCUUUAAUCUCCUCGAGAAAGAUCUUUAAAGGGAAAGGUCCAAUAACUUUCCAAGACCAGAGUGCAAAUCUGAGACACCACACAGGACAGGGAAAAUUAGUGUGACUUAAGUCCCUGUCCCUUUUCCUGCGUUAUCUGUGCUUUCCCUGAAGCGUGCCAUUGGCAUAAAAGGAAAGCCUGGAGCCGCUGGAGCUGUGUCUAGUGUCCCAGUGUCGCUGCCCGCCCGGCUGUCGGCUGUCGUUUGUUUGCAUUGCUUUCUGUGAUCACGCCCCUUUUUCAUCCUGCCUUUCACCUCUCCACCUCAUGCCUCCCUAUUUCUUAAGGCAUUGAACUCUUCCUCUAAUACUCCUGUCAGCAGAAGUGUACCCGAAAGGCCCUAGGAAAUCUCCUUGAAGUAGUUUCAGUGAGAUGUUUAUGAUCCUCUUCAGUCCGCCCUGCUGCACUUCCGUACUAACAAGCUUGGUCCUUCCAUCACCUGGACUUCUUUUAAAAAGGAAGCCUGUGAACAUUCCACCAGAAGUGCCUGAAAAAUCUGUUCCUUUGGGGAAACGCACAAUUAAAAGCCGCACAGAGAGAGGAGGUGACCGUUUCCAGUCACCUCCUUGUGUUGUGCGGAGAGCUGCCCUGAGCCCGCACUGCACCGAGUCCGUUAACGCUCCUGCAAAUGAAAUGGAUUACUUGCCACCAGCCAGCCCAAGAGGCAGGGCUGAAAUAACUGUAGAGUAUCAGAACGACUGCUUAAACCCUGCAAGGGGCAAAGAAACCAAUGAUAAAAUUGCUUAUAAAAACUAGUGAGGAUGCCCUCAUAUUUCAGGCAUCAAAACUUUCCAUCUCCCUGGCCACAGGCUGGUAACUGUUGAAGCUAGGGAUGGGUGUAUGGGGUGGGUUGGUUGUACCAGUCUACCAUCACAAAGGUCGGAAAUAUUCUUACUCAGUUUGCUGCUAACUUUCCAACCCUCUGAGGUCUGCACGCUAGGAAUUAGCUCCAUCAUACAGGAGUUAAGUUCUAUCAGCCAGAGCUAGAAAUCUGACCCCCCCCCCCUCCUUUUUCCUUUCACUCAAGGGGAAACUCGGGAGGCUCACAUUUCCCCCGUAGCUAAAGCAUGG
ensembl:lncRNA